CUUUAUUCUGUGUCUCUGUGUGUUGUGUGUUCUGUGUGUUCUCUGUGACAUCAGAAAUGGGCUAGAAAGGAGGAUUCUUUCAUGGGCUCCAUGACAUUAGGUCAUUCCCAUAUCUCAGUUUUCCUGCCUAAAAGUGGGACUUAUAAACCCUCCCUUGCUCAGAUGUUAGGAUGGGAGGAUUAAGAUUGCAAACAUUAUUGCUGUGCCUUUCAGCUAAAAGAUUAUGAGCAAUUUAAGGAUCAGAAUGGGGUCUGUAUAAUCUCUGUUGCAUCAUGCCUAACAUAAGCCCACAGGUUUGCUUUCAGAGCAGUCUACAGUGUGAAAAUUGCAGAAAUCCUCUGUCUUUCACACACACCACAGCCAGAACCAGGGGGAAUCACCUCUCUCUUUUAGACAUAUUUCAUGAAGUGAUUUGUCAGUGCUUUCAAGAACAUGUUGCUUCCAGGAUAGAUUUCCUUGUGUAUGCCCUGGAUCUGGAACUAACACCACUGCCAACUUCAUCUUCCUCAGUUCCACUGCCACUUCUUUGCAUGAGAAAUAAGAAGUCAAGAAAUGUGGAGUGAUCAUCCAUAAAUGGUUUUACCUGCAUCACCAAUGAGGUAAACAGAUUAUUACUCAGAUGUUGUCAAAUUUGUUCCACAUUACAUUUUUUUGUUGUAUUACCAGUUUCAUCCAUGAACUAACCCUAAGGAUGAUGAAGCUCAUUUGGUCUGUAGUCUAGAUUUUGUUUUCAUUGUUUGUUGCUGUUUUUAAAAGUAAUUAAAAAAUCUUUAUCUUCAAUCUUAGAAUCAAUACUAAAUAUUGAUUCCAAGGCAGAAGAUUGAUAAGGCCUAAGCAAUUGGUGUUUUAAGUGACUUGCCCAGGAACACAUAGCUAGGAAUUAUCUGAAACCACAUAUGAACCCAGGACCUCCUGUCUUUAGGUAUGUCUCUAAAUCCACUGAGCCACCCGGGUGCCCCAAGGUGAUAUUCCUAAUCAUCAGUAUUUUAUCAUGAAUUUCUGUAUAAUUUUCAAAUGUUUGUAUUCCAAAGUGAUGUCUUUGGCUAUUUCCUCUCCCUAUUUGGUAGAGAAAUUAAGGGUUUGCUAACUCAAGUAGUUUCUGGGAUCUUUUGGCCUCUUCCUUGUGAUGACUCAUUUGCAUUGGUUAAAAUUCUGUAGGAAAUGGUGGGGCUUUUUACUCACUGUCUUUGAAUUUUCCAUAUAUAUUUUUUCUACUAUUGUAGUUUAUUUGAAUAGGACAGCUUAAAUCAGUGUCUUCUCUUUUCUUUUGAUUUGAUAUUGAUUUUGACUUUUGCUCUAAUUAAUUGAUUUUCUUAUUUCACCCAGACAACUCCUUCUCACAUGACUCAUACAUUAGUAACAUUUUUGAACUUAAGCAUCAAAAAUGUUUCUUAUAUACAGCACAACACAAAAGAGGAUUGUGUGCGAAAGCAUAUCUAUGUUAUACCACUUGUUUCCUUUUAAAAAUACACAGUAAAUUCCAUACAUAACUUUAAACACUGUUCUGCUUGUCUGUGCUUCCUUCUAAGCUUUCUUUAGUUCUCUUCUGUGCAUUUAAAAAAUGUUUCAAUGGCCUGUUUUUUGGUCUUAAUAUUAUUAAAUUUAUUUACUUCUCCCCAGACUCCCCACCACCACAUUUUUAAAAAAAGAGAAAGAGAAAGGAAAACAAAAAAAACCUCUUUGUUACAAAGAAGCAUAAUAAAUCAAAAGGCACUCACA
ensembl:lncRNA